GUGGGGAAUCUUGCACAAUGGGCGAAAGCCUGAUGCAGCAACGCCGCGUGCGGGAAGAAGGCCUUAGGGUUGUAAACCGCUUUCAGCAGGGAAGAAAAUGACGGUACCUGUAGAAGAAGGUGCGGCCAACUACGUGCCAGCAGCCGCGGUGACACGUAGGCACCAAGCGUUGUCCGGAUUUAUUGGGCGUAAAGAGCUCGUAGGCGGUUCGGUAAGUCGGGUGUGAAAACUCUGGGCUCAACCCAGAGCCGCCACCCGAUACUGCUGUGACUCGAGUGCGGUAGGGGAGCGGGGAAUUCCUGGUGUAGCGGUGAAAUGCGCAGAUAUCAGGAGGAACACCAGUGGCGAAGGCGCCGCUCUGGGCCGUGACUGACGCUGAGGAGCGAAAGCGUGGGUAGCAAACAGGAUUAGAAACCCGUGUAGUCC
rnacentral:rRNA from 1 species